rnacentral:rRNA from 1 species
UACAGAGGGUGCGAACGUUGCUCGGAAUUACUGGGCGUAAAGCGCGUGUAGGUGGACAUUUAAGUCGGGUGUGAAAUCCCCGGGCUCAACCUGGGAAUUGCAUUCGAUACUGAAUGUCUAGAGUAUGGUAGAGGGUAGUGGAACUUUCGGUGUAGCGGUGAAAUGCGUAGAUAUCGGAAAGAACACCAGUGGCGAAGGCGGCUACCUGGACCAAUACUGACACUUAAGCGCGAAAGCGUGGGGAGCAAACAGG